rnacentral:rRNA from 1 species
GAUGAUCGCUGGCGGCGUGCCUAAUACAUGCAAGUCGAGCGAACAGACGAGGAGCUUGCUCCUCUGACGUUAUCGGCGGACGUGUGAGUAAAACGUGGAUAACCUACCUAUAAGACUGGGAUAACUUCGGGAAACCGGAGCUAAUACCGUAUAAUAUAUUGAACCGCAUGGUUCAAUAGUGAAAGUCGAUUUUGCAGUCUCUGAUAGAUGGAUCCGCUCCUCAUUAUCUAGUUGUUAAGGUAACGGCUUACCAAGUAAACGACGCGUAGCCGACCUUAGAGGGUGAUCGGCCAAACUGGAAAUGAGACACGGUCCAGCCUCCUACGGGAGGCGGCAGUAGGGAAUCUUCCGCCAUGGGCGAAAGCCUGACGGAGCAACGCCGAGUGAGUGAUGAUGGUCUUAGGAUCGUAAAAAUCUGUUAUUAGGGAAGAACAAAUGUGUAAGUAAGUAUGCACGUCUUGAAGGUAACUAAUAAGACAGCCAGGGCUAGCUACGUG